AGCGAACGCUGGCGGCAGGCCUAACACAUGCAAGUCGAGCGCCCAGCAAUGGGAGCGGCAGACGGGAUAGUAACACGUGGGAACGUACCUUUCAGUUCGGAACAACCCAGGGAAACUUGGGCUAAUACCGAAUACGUCCGUAAGGAGAAAGAUUUAUCGCUGAAAGAUCGGCCCGCGUCUGAUUAGCUAGUUGGUGAGGUAAUGGCUCACCAAGGCGACGAUCAGUAGCNGGUCUGAGAGGAUGAUCAGCAUCACUGGGACUGAGACACGGCCCAGACUCCUACGGGAGGCAGCAGUGGGGAAUAUUGGACAAUGGGCGCAAGCCUGAUCCAGCCAUGCCGCGUGGAUGAUGAAGGCCUUAGGGUUGUAAAGUCCUUUCGGCGGGGAAGAUAAUGACGGUACCCGCAGAAGAAGCCCCGGCUAACUUCGUGCCAGCAGCCGCCGUAAU
rnacentral:rRNA from 1 species